rnacentral:rRNA from 1 species
CCUACGGGCGGCAGCAGUGAGGAAUUUUGGUCAAUGGGCGGGAGCCUGAACCAGCCAAGUCGCGUGAGGGAAGACGGUCCUAUGGAUUGUAAACCUCUUUAGGAGGGGAGCAAUGCCGGGCACGCGUGCACGGAGGGAGAGUACCCGCAGAAUAAGCAUCGGCUAACUCCGUGCCAGCAGCCGCGGUAAUACGGAGGAUGCGAGCGUUAUCCGGUUUUAUUGGGUUUAGAGAGUGCGUAGGCGGAUUUUUAUGUCAGCGGUAAAAUGUCGGGACUCAACCCCGGCCUGCCGUUGAAACUGGCGGCCUCGAGUGGGCGAGAGGUAUGCGGAAUGCGUGGUGUAGCGGUGAAAUGCAUAGAUAUCACGCAGAACUCCGAUUGCGAAGGCAGCAUACCGGCGCCCGACUGACGCUGAGGCACGAAAGCGUGGGUAUCGAACAGGAUUAGAUACCCCAGUAGUC